rnacentral:lncRNA from 1 species
CAGCGGAACUUGCUAGUUUCAAAAUGACAAACGAUAGAAAAGAGCAUUAUAUCAAAUAUUAUUUAAUGUCAUGCCUGGAUUUCCUUUACAAAGCCAAUAUAGUACUUCUUUAACUAACUCUAGUCCUUCUCCCUCUGUGCAUGUUGAGCAUGCCAUCAGAGCUAAAGCUGUAAAUCUAAUUUGCCAAUUGGAUCUCCAGGGUCAUUUGUCCUCCCAUUGGACAGGGAGAUAAGAUCAGCAACAAUGGGCUGAGAGGACCUGAGCCCUAGGACCAUGCCUCAGGACUACCUGGCAUGAUGACUCCUUGCUGUCCCAGUCCACCUGGCCGUGCUGCUGCUCCAGUUUCAACUGUUCUGCCUGCGGCUAUGGAACCCUGACCUGUUCACCGGACGUGCUUGUUGCACCCUCGACAACUACUAUGAUUAUUAUUAUUUGACCAUGCUGGUCAUUUAUGAACAUUUUAACAUCUUGACCAUGUUCUGUUAUAAUAUCCACCCGGCACAGCCAGAAGAGGACUGGCCACCCCUCAUAGCCUGGUUCCUCUCUAGGUUUCUUCCUACGUUUUUGGCCUUUCUAGGGAGUUUUUCCUAGCCACCGUGCUUCUUUCACAUGCAUUGCUUGCUGUUUGGGGUUUUAGGCUGGGUUUCUGUACAGCACUUUAUCAGCUGAUGUACGAAGGGCUAUAUAAAUACAUUUGAUUUGAUGUGUUAAUGUAUGAUCAAAUCUAUUGAAUCUGGCCCCUUUUCUAUCCUGAAAACCACAGUACUGGAUAAGGGAUCCACAUCAACGUAUUCUGGAAACAACUACAUUAAGACAUAGAUUUGACUUUUUUUAUCUGAAGGUUUCUGAAUAUUUACUUUCAGCGUGGCCUCAAUGUGUCAAAUGUGUAGCUAACCUGGCUGCUAUGUCUGUGUUAUACCAAGCAGUGAGGAUAAAUUCUAUCUUACAGUAGUUCCCUUCUCACAGUAUUUGCUCUGACAGACAUGUCAAAUUGCUGUUUGAUGUUUCAUUCCUUAGAUUUGUAUUCCUAGAAUUAAAUGCUACACCGGCCUAUCCUCCUCUACUGUGUUAAAACCACCCCUAGGCAUGUUUGGCAUGUUGACAGACAUGGCAUAUCACUGAUAACACUGGUGUAAACUAGAAAUAUUACCCAAAGAUCACUGAACUAACUUCCUUGUAUACCACAGAUAUACAGUGAUGUCUGAAAUUAUUGACAUCCUUUAUAAAGAUGGGCAAUAAUGACUGUAUAAAAUAAAUAAUUCAAAUACUGAGCUAUAUUAACUGCUCAAAAAGAUGGGGAAUAAGGAUCAUACUCACAAGACAUGCUAACCUCACCAUUACCAAUAACAGGUGAGGUUAUCAUGUCUUGGACGUAUGAUCUUCGAACCCUCUGUAACUUUAUGACUCAUCAUUAUUCACAAUUCAUUCAGGAUUAUCCAUAAUCAUGUUAGCAUACACAUUAUUGUAUAUGUGUUUAGAAACAUAUUCAAUUCUUAUUUACAAAAAAAGUUACUCCAAAAUGAUUACAACAAAAUUUACUCCAAAAUGAAACAAUACAUUAUUUAUCAUUCAAUUCUAUUGGCCACAAACUAAUCUGAAACGUAACCAAAAUGGACUGCAAAUGCACGAGUGUGAAGUAGUCACUGCGUGCUAGGAAUGUGAGACCAAAUACUACACUUUUGACUACUUUAUUCAAAACAAUCUUUAAACAAAAUCUCUUUCUCUGAGCAAUUGUAUUACUAUAAAUGUUUAUAAUUUCCCCAUUAUUUUGAGCAUACAAUAAAGCUCGGUACUUGAAUUAUUUAUUUUUAUACAGUCGUUCAUUU